GACGAACGCUGGCGGCGUGCCUAAUACAUGCAAGUCGAACGCAGGGGGGACGGGUGAGUAACACGUGGGUAACCUCCCAUCAGAGGGGAUAACACUUGGAAACAGGUGCUAAACCGAUACUGAUGGAUGGAGCCGGGGUGCAUUAGCUAGUUGGUGAGGUAACGGCCCACCAGGGCGACGAUGCAUAGCCGGUCUGAGAGGGUGAUCGGCCACACUGGGACUGAGACACGGCCCAGACUCCUACGGGAGGCAGCAGUAGGGAAUCUUCGGCAAUGGACGAAAGUCUGACCGAGCAAUGCCGCGUGAGUGAAGAAGGUUUUCGGAUCGUAAAGCUCUGUUGUUAGAGAAGCGUUAUCUAACCAGAAAGCCACGGCUAACUACGUGCCAGCAGCCGCGGUAAUAC
rnacentral:rRNA from 1 species